rnacentral:rRNA from 1 species
UACGAAGGGGGCUAGCGUUGCUCGGAAUUACUGGGCGUAAAGAGCUCGUAGGCGGCCUGUUAAGUCGAACGUGAAAUCCCCGGGCUCAACCCGGGAACUGCGUCCGAUACUGGCAGGCUUGAAUUCGGGAGAGGGAUGCGGAAUUCCAGGUGUAGCGGUGAAAUGCGUAGAUAUCUGGAGGAACACCGGUGGCGAAGGCGGCAUCCUGGACCGACAUUGACGCUGAGGCGCGAAAGCCAGGGGAGCAAACGGG